rnacentral:rRNA from 1 species
UACGUAGGUGGCGAGCGUUGUCCGGAUUUACUGGGCGUAAAGGGAGCGUAGGCGGACUUUUAAGUGAGAUGUGAAAUACCCGAGCUCAACUUGGGUGCUGCAUUUCAAACUGGAAGUCUAGAGUGCAGGAGAGGAGAAUGGAAUUUCUAGUGUAGCGGUGAAAUGCGUAGAGAUUAGGAAGAACACCAGUGGCGAAGGCGAUUCUCUGGACUGUAACUGACGCUGAGGCUUGAAAGCGUGGGGAGCAAACAGGAUUAGAUA